rnacentral:rRNA from 1 species
GAUGAACGCUGGCGGGGUGCUUAACACAUGCAAGUCGAACGAUUAAAGCCCCUUCGGGGGUGUAUAGAGUGGCGAACGGGUGAGUAACACGUGGGCAGUCUGCCCCUCACUUCGGGAUAACUCAGGGAAACCUAAGCUAAUACCGAAUACUCCGAACUGAUCGCAUGGUCGGUUCGGGAAAGCUCCGACGGUGAGGGUUGAGCCCGCGGCCCAUUAGCUUGUUGGUGAGGUAUCGGCUCACCAAGGCGACGAUGGGUAGCCGCGCUGAGAGGCGGAUCGGCCACACUGGGACUGAGACACGGCCCAGCCUCCUACGGGAGGCAGCAGUGGGGAAUUUUGCGCAAUCGGCGAAAGCCUGACGCAGCAACGCCGCGUGCGGGAUGAAGGCUUUCGGGUCGUAAACCGCUUUCAGCAGGGAUGAAAUUGACAGUACCUGCAGAAGAAGCCCCGGCUAAAUACGUGCCAGCAGCCGCGGUAAUAC